rnacentral:rRNA from 1 species
ACUCAAAGGAAUUGACGGGGACCCGCACAAGCAGCGGAGCGUGUGGUUUAAUUCGAUGCGACGCGAAUAACCUUACCAGGGCUUGACAUCUAUUCGCAACACCAAGAAAUUGGUGCCUCCUUACGGACGGAUAGACAGAUGUUGCAUGGCUGUCGUCAGCUCGUGUCGUGAGAUGUUGGGUUAAGUCCCGCAACGAGCGCAACCCUUGUCCUUAGUUGCAUAUCUAGGGAGACCGCCGGAAACAAACCGGAGGAAGGUGGGGAUGACGUCAAGUCAGCAUGACUCUUACGUCCUGGGCUACACACACGCUACAAUGGCCACUACAAAAAGAAGCCACGGAGCGAUCCGGAGCAGACCUCAAAAGGUGGCCCCAGUUCAGAUUGCACUCUGCAACCCGAGUGCAUGAAGGCGGAGUUGCUAGUAACCGCGUGUCAGCAUAGCGCGGUGAAUAUGUUCCCGGGUCUUGUACACACCGCCCGU